GAUGAACGCUGGCGGCGUGCCUAACACAUGCAAGUCGAACGAAGCAUUUUAGAGGAAGUUUUCGGAUGGAAUUUAAGAUGACUGAGUGGCGGACGGGUGAGUAACGCGUGGAUAACCUGCCCCACACUGGGGGAUAACAGUUAGAAAUGGCUGCUAAUACCGCAUAAGCGCACAGUACUGCAUAGUACAGUGUGAAAAACUCCGGUGGUGUGGGAUGGAUCCGCGUCUGAUUAGUUAGUUGGCGGGGUAACGGCCCACCAAGACGACGAUCAGUAGCCGACCUGAGAGGGUGACCGGCCACAUUGGGACUGAGACACGGCCCAAACUCCUACGGGAGGCAGCAGUGGGGAAUAUUGCACAAUGGGGGAAACCCUGAUGCAGCGACGCCGCGUGAGUGAAGAAGUAUUUCGGUAUGUAAAGCUCUAUCAGCAGGGAAGAAGAUGACGGUACCUGACUAAGAAGCCCCGGCUAACUACGUGCCAGCAGCCGCGGUAAUACGUAGGGGGCAAGCGUUAUCCGGAUUUACUGGGUGUAAAGGGAGCGUAGACGGCGGAGCAAGUCUGAAGUGAAAGCCCGGGGCUCAACCCCGGGACUGCUUUGGAAACUGCUCUGCUAGAG
rnacentral:rRNA from 1 species